CUCUCUCGCGGCGGUGUUCAGUAUGGCUGUUUCUCGGUUCUGUGCGGCUCGGUACCGGUUUAAUCCGUGUUUUAGCGAAACAGCGAUGGAUCUGACGUAAAAACAGAGGAACGGUGGGCCGGUGACCCUCUGAUUUCCCCCUAUACCGGAGUUCACCAUGUGUGGAUCUGAUUGGCUCCCUGAUCCUGGUGAGUAGCUCUUCACUGAGUUGAUGGUGAACUGGUCCAGUGGUUGUCAGCUGUGCAGGCGUGUACCGUGCCUGAGCGAGUGUUACUCUGCUGGUAAAGGAAGGCUGUGCCGUUUGGGCUCGGCUCAGGUGUUGCUGUUUUAGUGAUAUCCUGACGCUGUGCUGUGGUGGAGCCUUACCCACUCUGAGAGUGGGCUGCUCCCUCACCGGUGGGGGCCGCCCUAGUCUGUGGGCGAGUCUUCACUUCAUUCAAGAAUGCCUGCUGUUACCAGCUGAAGUGGAAAAGGUGGGUAACAGGCUGACUGACUCACUAGGGCUGUGUCCAGAAACUCAAAAUACCAGUAUUGUGCUGAAUUCAGCACCCCUGCCAGGAAAAACACUCCCUCAGCAGUGCAUAUUGAUGAGUGAAGAUAAUUGCAUUAACUUUGCUUAGAAAUGUGCUCCCGAGAGAGAGUGCUUUUCAUGGCAGGGGUGCUGAGUUUGGCACGACACCCGUAUACCUCUUUUCCUACUGAUCCUCUCUGAACUGGAAACUGAUUUUGUGGCACAUCUCGCUGCCUGUCCAGAUAACAUGAGAUGAAAGAAUCUGCUUAAAAUCCUCCUCAGAGAUCAUCCUUCCCUCAAAGACCUUUAGGGAUUUUCAAAUGACAUCAUUGGCCACACCCACUUUUAUUUUAAGUAUAUAAUAAAAAAUGUAAUAAGAUUAAUGUAAGGCUUCUA
rnacentral:lncRNA from 1 species